rnacentral:rRNA from 1 species
AUUGAACGCUGGCGGCAUGCCUUGCACAUGCAAGUCGAACGGUAACGCGGGGCAACCUGGCGACGAGUGGCGAACGGGUGAGUAAUACAUCGGAACGUGCCCGAUCGUGGGGGAUAACGCAGCGAAAGCUGUGCUAAUACCGCAUAUUCUGUGAGCAGGAAAGCAGGGGACCGCAAGGCCUUGCGCUCUUUGAGCGGCCGAUGUCAGAUUAGCUAGUUGGUGAGGUAAAGGCUUACCAAGGCGACGAUCUGUAGCGGGUCUGAGAGGAUGAUCCGCCACACUGGAACUGAGACACGGUCCAGACUCCUACGGGAGGCAGCAGUGGGGAAUUUUGGACAAUGGGCGCAAGCCUGAUCCAGCCAUGCCGCGUGAGUGAAGAAGGCCUCGG